rnacentral:rRNA from 1 species
AGCAGCCGCGGUAAUUCCAGCUCCAAUAGCGUAUAUUAAAGUUGCUGCAGUUAAAAAGCUCGUAGUUGAAUUUCGGGAUCGAUAUAUCGGUCGUGCCUCGGUACGUACUGGUAUUUUCGGUUUCUCCCUUCUGACGAACCUUGAUGUCAUUAAUUUGGUGUCUUGGGGAAUCAGGACUGUUACUUUGAAAAAAUUAGAGUGUUUAAAGCAGGCUCACGCUUGAAUACAUUAGCAUGGAAUAAUGAAAUAGGACGUUUGAUUCUAUUUUGUUGGUUUCUAGGAUCGACGUAAUGAUUAAUAGGGAUAGUUGGGGGCAUUAGUAUUCAAUUGUCAGAGGUGAAAUUCUUGGAUUUAUUGAAGACUAACUACUGCGAAAGCAUUUGCCAAGGAUGUUUUCAUUAAUCAAGAACGAAAGUUAGGGGAUCGAAGACGAUCAGAUACCGUCGUAGUCUUAACCAUAAACUAUGCCGACUAGGGAUCGGAUGAUGUUAAUUUUUAAUGACUCAUUCGGCGCCUUACG